UUGGCAAUCUGUACGGUCUUACGUACCAAUACUGACGCUCGGUGACGAAGAAUUGGAGGUGCCACCAAACACUACCUACACGGGAGAUCAUAACCUGCCAAGACUGCCUGUGUCUAAAAACGGAGAAGGGACAUGCGAGACUACCCGGAGUGGCCAUGCGAGGAAGCCGUCUGCUCGACCUGGUCGUCGUGGUCCGACUGUGUGCAGACCUGCAGCAGCCUGUGUCCGGAG